GAUGAACGCUGGCGGCGUGCCUAAUACAUGCAAGUCGAGCGAACAGACGAGGAGCUUGCUCCUCUGACGUUAGCGGCGGACGGGUGAGUAACACGUGGAUAACCUACCUAUAAGACUGGGAUAACUUCGGGAAACCGGAGCUAAUACCGGAUAAUAUAUUGAACCGCAUGGUUCAAUAGUGAAAGACGGUUUUGCUGUCACUUAUAGAUGGAUCCGCGCCGCAUUAGCUAGUUGGUAAGGUAACGGCUUACCAAGGCAACGAUGCGUAGCCGACCUGAGAGGGUGAUCGGCCACACUGGAACUGAGACACGGUCCAGACUCCUACGGGAGGCAGCAGUAGGGAAUCUUCCGCAAAGGGCGAAAGCCCGACGGAGCAACGCCGCGUGAGUGAUGAAGGUCUUCGGAUCGUAAAACUCUGUUAUUAGGGAGGAACAAAUGUGUAAGUAACUAUGCACGUCUUGACGGUACCUAAUCAGAAAGCCACGGCUAACUACGUG
rnacentral:rRNA from 1 species